rnacentral:rRNA from 1 species
UAGGGAAUAUUAGAAAUGGCCGAAAGUCUGAUCUAGCAACACCGCGUGUGCGAAGAAGGCCUUUGGGUCGUAAAGCACUUUUUGGAAGGAAUAGGAAGGAAUGUACUUCCAGAAUAAGUCUCGGCUAACUACGUGCCAGCAGCCGCGGUAACACGUAGGAGGCAAACGUUAUCCGGAUUUACUGGGCGUAAAGCGCGUGUAGGUGGUACUGUAAGUAGGGCGUGAAAGCUCCUGGCUCAACUGGGAGAGGCCGUUCUAAACUACAGAGCUAGAGGAUGGUAGAGGGAGGUGGAAUUCCAGGUGUAGCGGUGGAAUGCGCAGAUAUCUGGAGGAACACCGGUGGCGAAGGCGGCCUCCUGGACCAUUCCUGACACUCAGACGCGAAAGCUAGGGUAGCAAACG